GGGAAACAGUUCUCAUUUUGUGUGCUCGGCUGACUGCACGUCCAGCCUCGGGCCAGCUCGAGACGGCCACAUUGUGAGUCUGUGGGAGGGGUUCUACCGAGACGAAUGGACUUUUCUGAGGCAGGGCCCAGGAGCUGUAAUUCGAGGGGCCUCAGAUCUCCCUGCCACCCACCUGCCAGGGCAAGUGAAAUUCCACUGAGAAAAAAUCAGGCGUAUCUAUUCUCUUCCAGGAGUUUGUCUCCCUUUUAAGAAACAAAUGUCCCUUGUGUGAAUGAUUGGAGGCUUUUUAUCCUCUGGUGGCGCCUCCUUCUUUGCAAUUAUCUACAAUGGAGACUGUUUCUUCUCCCUUCUUAGUGAUUACAACUGCUACUUGCAUUCUUUUUUUACUUUCAAGAUCAUGAAGGCAUGUUGUCUCUAUCUUUCCUCUCCUUCAUCCUUUACUUAGUAGUACCGAUAGCACUUUUAACUUACGUCUAGUUAAAAGCCAGACAUCCUGGAUUCAGAUUCUAGCUUGACCACUUAUAAGCGCCAUGAAUGUGGCAAGUUAGCCUUUUUUGCAUCUGUUUCUUUAUCUGCAUAAAGCAAUAACAAUACCACCUACCUCAUGGUUUUUUUCCUGAGAAUAAAUAAUUAUAUACAGUCAUGCAUUGCUUAAGAUCAGAGAAAUGUGUCACUGGGCGAUCAUGAGUUUGUGUGAACAUCAUAGUGUGUACUUACACAGACUCAGAUGGUGUAGCCUUCUACACACCUUGGAUAUAUGGUAUAGCCUAUUCCUGCUAGGCUACAAACUCGUGCAGCAUGUUAUGGUACUGAAUACUGCAGGCAAUUGUAGCACACUGGCCUGGUUGAAGAUGGCUGAGCGUAAAACAGAAUGCAAGUCAGCUGGAGCACGUACUACUGGAGGCAGAGCCCCAUGAGAAGGGGCCAAGAACCCGCACCCAUCAAAAUCAAGAAGAAAGGCUGAACCCGGAGAGAAAAGGGAGCAACUGAUGUUGCCAUGCAGAUCCCUUGGUUGCUAUGAGAUGGUAACAUCACUCUGCCCCACCAUUGGCCAGUGCCUCCUCAGCUGCGGUGCCUCCCAGGCUGUGUGGUUCUCACGCGGGCCACUGACACAGAGCUGUUACUAUGGUGAACUUUACAAUUUCCUUUGAUUGGUGGAUUUCAGAAAUAGGCCAUCAGCGGAAUUCAUUAUAUUCAGCUAAGUAAAAAUGAAAAAUAAAUACUAUAACUUUCCCCUCAUCACUAACAUGAAGGAAACGUGACCCUUCAUGACAUAAUAAAUCGCUGUUCGGUAACUUAGGAUCCUUCAGGGGACUGAAGCGGGAUGAUCCUCCUAUGCCAAAUUUGGGUGGGAAAGAUAUUCCCUGUAGCUUUGAGUCGACUCUUCAGAGUUAAGGGCAGUGGGCCAACCAGAGUUGGAACUUCAGAGUUGGGAGGAGGUGUGGGAUGGGGCAUGCAUUGAAAUGUAAACUCUAUUGUCUCUGAAGUGAUGGGUGAUGCUGGGGGCCUGAGUGUGGAGGGCAGUUUUACAUCUCAGGACAAUGUUUUCUCAGAUGCUCUUCCAGAAAGAAAAGCCAGGAGUACUCCUGGCUGGAGGCGGCAUGCCUGAGGUCAGAGUCAAAGUAGGGUUUGUGCUGUCUGAAUCCUUUCUCCCACUCUCCCCAGCCUGGCUCAGCUUCUCAGCUUCUCAGGUGGAUUGGUGAGUCCUGGCCAAUUACGCUUCAGCUCAUCUCUACUCUCAGCAAAUAGGAAAAGGGAGUGAAGGACUGAGUUUUAACUCUUCUAAUUUCGUAACCUGACUCUCUAUAAGAAAAAGUAGGAGAAAGACUGAAGAACCCGAGAGAACAGGCCUCUGAGCCCAAGCCAAGCCAUCGCAUCCCCUGUGACUUGCCCGUAUAUAUGCCCAGAUGGCCUGAAGUAACUGAAGAAUCACAAAAGAAGUGAAUAUGCCUUGCCCCACCUUGACUGAUGACAUUCCACCACAAAAGAAGUGUAAAUGGCCGGUCCUUGCCUUAACUGAUGACAUUACCUUGUGAAAGUCCUUUUCCUGGCUCAUCCUGGCUCAAAAAGCACCCCCACUGAGCAUCUUGCGACUCCCACUCCUGCCCACUGAGCACCUUGUGACCCCCACUCCUGCCUGCCAGAGAACAAACCCCCUUUGACUGUAAUUUUCCUUUACCUACCCAAAUCCUAUAAAACGGCUCCACCCUUAUCUCCUUUUGCUGACUCUCUUUUCUGACUCAGCCCGCCUGCACCCAGGAGAUUAAAAGCUUUAUUGCUCA
ensembl:lncRNA novel transcript, antisense to PELI1